GGCUGAAGUUGCCGAUCUUUUCUCCACCUGGGACCCCAUUGAAGUAGUGAUGGGGAAAAGUGAUUCUUCUGGUCUAGGAUCAUAUCCGCACGCCUAUGUGACAGUGGCCGACAGAGACACCGCAGAGACUGCUGCGCUAAACCUGAACGACACCUACUUCAAUGGCCGGAUAAUUGCAGUUGUGCCACUGCCUAAAAAUUGCAAAAAAGCACCUUGAGGCUCGCCCAGGCCUGCUUUCUUCUUCUUGCCUCUUGCCAUCAAGCCAUGUAAGGGGCUCUGGGAAAAUUUCGUUAUGUUUCUACGACUUGUGUGUCUGAUGUUGUGACUGUGUAAAAGACAUUCCAAAGUUCCUCACUACCAUCUUCAUGGUCUCGACAAAGCUGAUGCAAGACUGUGUUGUUACGUCUCACCUUGCUGCUAAAUUGCAGGUUGGUUUGUUGUGUUUUACACUUUUGUUGGAAGGACAUUGCAAGGUAGCAUUGUUUCUUCUUGAAGUACAGUAGCUUGUAUGGGCAGGGUUUCCAGU